AUAAAACAAUAGGAGAUAUGGCUCCCAAAACUUAUGCCGGCAUGUUUGUUGGUGCAUUAUGUGCAUUAGCCGGUGUAUUGACUAUCGCUUUACCUGUGCCUGUUAUUGUUUCAAAU
rfam:Euroglyphus maynei isolate Arlian Lab scaffold116, whole genome shotgun sequence.